rnacentral:rRNA from 1 species
UGCAGUCGAACGCGAAAAUACCUUCGGGUAUGAGUAGAGUGGCGCACGGGUGAGUAACGCGUGGGAACGUACCCUGAAGUAAGGGAUAGCCUCGGGAAACUGGGAUUAAUACCUUAUAAUGUCUCCGGACCAAAGAUUUAUCGCUUCAGGAUCGGCCCGCGUUAGAUUAGUUUGUUGGUGGGGUAAUGGCCUACCAAGGCAACGAUCUGUAGCUGGUCUGAGAGGACGAACAGCCACACUGGGACUGAGACACGGCCCAGACUCCUACGGGAGGCAGCAGUGGGGAAUAUUGGACAAUGGGCGAAAGCCUGAUCCAGCAAUGCCGCGUGUGUGAAGAAGGCCUGCGGGUUGUAAAGCACUUUCAGUUGGGAAGAUGAUGACGUUACCAACAGAAGAAGCACCGGCUAAAUCCGUGCCAGCAGCCGCGGUAAUACGGAUGGUGCGAGCGUUAAUCGGAAUUACUGGGCGUAAAGCGCGCGUAGGCGGCUAAGUCAGUCAGAAGUGAAAGCCCCGGGCUCAACCUGGGAAUUGCUUUUGAUACUGCUUGGCUAGAGUUUGGUAGAGGAUAGUGGAAUUCCAGGUGUAGCGGUGAAAUGCGUAGAUAUCUGGAGGAACAUCAGUGGCGAAGGCGACUGUCUGGACCAAAACUGACGCUGAGGUGCGAAAGCGUGGGUAGCAAACAGGAUUAGAUACCCUGGUAGAAGGGC